rnacentral:rRNA from 1 species
UACGUAGGGGGGCGAGCGUUUGUCCGGAAUCAUUGGGGCGUAAAGCGCGCGUAGGCGGCCCCUGUAAGUCCGUUGUGAAAGUCAAAGGCUCAACCUUUGAAAAGCCGAUGGAUACUGCAGGGCUAGAGUCCGGAAGAGGCGAGUGGAAUUCCUGGUGUAGCGGUGGAAUGCGCAGAUAUCAGGAGGAACACCAAUAGCGAAGGGCAG